AUGAUGGAGUUUUCCCAUUAGGCUGAAUGGAGGCAAAUUACAAGUCAACCAAACUAUGAAUCAGUCACACUGGACGUUCCUUGACCACUGAGAACAGUGUGGAAAUGCCCCAGAGCCAAGAUGGAGCUAUUCAAGUAUGUCCAACAGAACACUGUGCUGUGUGUUGGACAGUAAAGCAGUUUGCAUCUGAUGGCCCUUCGGAGAGCAAGGAUUAAGUGCCACAGAAGCUUGUGCCUGCUCCCAGACCCUCUAGGAAGUGGGUGAAGAACUGCAUGGAUUUUGUUUUAAAUGGAACUGAAUGAUAAUCCCAGGAGAUUUAAGAGCUGAGAUCAUGCAGCGGAUACAUAUUUCACACCUGGGGAUAAAGACAUGCCUGAGAUGAGCCAGGAAAUGUAUCUACAGGCCAGGCAAGAACACCCAGUUGCAGUCAUACAUGUAAUGGCACAAGCUGUGCAAAGAAUAUAGUGAUUGACAAGAAAUGCCUCAUGAAAUGCCAGUCCAGCUCUGAAAAAAAGGUCAGAACAGAGUGGUUCAUUUCUAAUGAAAGAAACUUUAUGGCUACAGUACAAUACUAACCCAGUUUCUGGAAGAUGCACAGGUAUUAGGAAACUAAGUAAGCACCAACAGCCUGAGCCCCAGCUGCUACCGUAGAUACCAUAAUAACUCUAAAGUUAUUAGGAGAGGUAGCAGCACAAAAGAAAUCAUUGGGUGCAGGACGUGAGAUGAGUAGAACAAGCAGGAACAGUGAAAAUUAAGGCACCAUGCAGUGACUGGAAUCAAAGGUAGCAGCAUGCAACUAUAGUCUGCUAGACUAAUGUGGCCAAGACAAGAAGGAUGUGAAAUGCGAUCAACAAAGAGGAUCAACUCAACUGAUCAAGGGCCCUCAAUAAUAAAACAGGGAAGUUAAACAGUGGGGAGAACUUGUUUGUUUCUUCACUGGUAUCCGGAGUUGUUUUUGCUAGUACAGCAUAGCCUGCCUGGCAUCCGUUCGCACCCUGGUGGAGUGUCAGUCUGCCUUAGGUCCUGCGUCAUACCUGCUAUUUCCAUGCAGAUGUCUUGGAUACCUUAGGGCCUCUCAAAUGGCACUGGGCGUCGAGCAUGGGCAGAGGAAUCCUGUCCUUUGCUGUGUGGAAAAACAUUGCUCCUGAAGGGCCACAACAGCAUGGUAGUGGCUGCAGCCAGGAGUGGCAGCAGUAAGCAAGUUGGAGAAAAUACUG